rnacentral:rRNA from 1 species
GUAGGUGGCAAGCGUUGUCCGGAAUUAUUGGGCGUAAAGCGCGCGCAGGCGGUCCUUUAAGUCUGAUGUGAAAGCCCACGGCCCAACCGUGGAGGGUCAUUGGAAACUGGGGGACUUGAGUACAGAAGAGGAAAGCGGAAUUCCACGUGUAGCGGUGAAAUGCGUAGAGAUGUGGAGGAACACCAGUGGCGAAGGCGGCUUUCUGGUCUGUAACUGACGCUGAGGCGCGAAAGCGUGGGGAGCAAACAGGAUUAGAUACCCUGGUAGUCCACGCCGUAAACGAUGAGUGCUAAGUGUUAGGGGGUUUCCCGCCCCCUUAGUGCUGCAGCUAACGCAUUAAGCACUCCGCCUGGGGGAGUACGGCCCGCAAGGCUG